rnacentral:rRNA from 1 species
GGUUAAGCGACUAAGCGUACACGGUGGAUGCCCUGGCAGUCAGAGGCGAUGAAGGACGUGCUAAUCUGCGAAAAGCGUCGGUAAGGUGAUAUGAACCGUUAUAACCGGCGAUGUCCGAAUGGGGAAACCCAGUGUGUUUCGACACACUAUCAUUAACUGAAUCCAUAGGUUAAUGAGGCGAACCGGGGGAACUGAAACAUCUAAGUACCCCGAGGAAAAGAAAUCAACCGAGAUUCCCCCAGUAGCGGCGAGCGAACGGGGAGGAGCCCAGAGCCUGAAUCAGUGUGUGUGUUAGUGGAAGCGUCUGGAAAGGCGCGCGAUACAGGGUGACAGCCCCGUACACAAAAAUGCACAUGCUGUGAGCUCGAUGAGUAGGGCGGGACACGUGGUAUCCUGUCUGAAUAUGGGGGGACCAUCCUCCAAGGCUAAAUACUCCUGACUGACCGAUAGUGAACCAGUACCGUGAGGGAAAGGCGAAAAGAACCCCGGCGAGGGGAGUGAAAAAGAACCUGAAACCGUGUACGUACAAGCAGUGGGAGCCCUGAUUUAUCAGGGUGACUGCGUACCUUUUGUAUAAUGGGUCAGCGACUUAUAUUCUGUAGCAAGGUUAACCGAAUAGGGGAGCCGGAGGGAAACCGAGUCUUAACUGGGCGUUAAGUUGCAGGGUAUAGACCCGAAACCCGGUGAUCUAGCCAUGGGCAGGUUGAAGGUUGGGUAACACUAACUGGAGGACCGAACCGACUAAUGUUGAAAAAUUAGCGGAUGACUUGUGGCUGGGGGUGAAAGGCCAAUCAAACCGGGAGAUAGCUGGUUCUCCCCGAAAGCUAUUUAGGUAGCGCCUCGUGAAUUCAUCUCCGGGGGUAGAGCACUGUUUCGGCAAGGGGGUCAUCCCGACUUACCAACCCGAUGCAAACUGCGAAUACCGGAGAAUGUUAUCACGGGAGACACACGGCGGGUGCUAACGUCCGUCGUGAAGAGGGAAACAACCCAGACCGCCAGCUAAGGUCCCAAAGUCAUGGUUAAGUGGGAAACGAUGUGGGAAGGCCCAGACAGCCAGGAUGUUGGCUUAGAAGCAGCCAUCAUUUAAAGAAAGCGUAAUAGCUCACUGGUCGAGUCGGCCUGCGCGGAAGAUGUAACGGGGCUAAACCAUGCACCGAAGCUGCGGCAGCGACACUGUGUGUUGUUGGGUAGGGGAGCGUUCUGUAAGCCUGCGAAGGUGUGCUGUGAGGUAUGCUGGAGGUAUCAGAAGUGCGAAUGCUGACAUAAGUAACGAUAAAGCGGGUGAAAAGCCCGCUCGCCGGAAGACCAAGGGUUCCUGUCCAACGUUAAUCGGGGCAGGGUGAGUCGACCCCUAAGGCGAGGCCGAAAGGCGUAGUCGAUGGGAAACAGGUUAAUAUUCCUGUACUUGGUGUUACUGCGAAGGGGGGACGGAGAAGGCUAUGUUGGCCGGGCGACGGUUGUCCCGGUUUAAGCGUGUAGGCU